rnacentral:rRNA from 1 species
UCUCCUAUGGUUAACGGCGAGUGAAGAGGGAAGAGCCCAAGAUUGAAAGCUGGCGCCUUCGGCGUCCGCAUUGUAAUCUCAAGAAGUGUUUUCCGCUUCGGACCAUGCCUAAGUCCCUUGGAAAAGGGCAUCAUAGAGGGUGAUAAUCCCGUACAUGGCAUGGAGCGCCCGAAGCUUUGUGAUACGCUUUCUAAGAGUCGAGUUGUUUGGGAAUGCAGCUCAAAAUGGGUGGUAAAUGCCAUCUAAGGCUAAAUAUUGGGGAGAGACCGAUAGCGAACAAGUACAGUGAUGGAAAGAUGAAAAGAACUUUGAAAAGAGAGUUAAACAGUACGUGAAAUUGCCAAAAGGGAAGGGUAGGAGGUCAGAGAUGCGUCGCAGGAUUCAGCCUUGCUUUUGCUUGGUGUUUUUCCUGCGUUGCAGGCCAACGUCGGUUUUGGGCACUGGAGAAGGGUAGGAGGAACGUGGCACCUCUCGGGGUGUGUUAUAGCCUCCUACUGGAUACAGCGACCGAGACCGAGGAACGCAGCGUACUCGUAAGAGCGGGCCUUUUGGCACCUUUACGCUUAGGGCGUUGGCAUAAUGGC